GGGAAGGAGAAGGAGCCUGUGUUCUCCCCAGCUAGCAUCGGCAGGGCGACCGGUCUGAGCAGCCCACUUCUGAGAAAGAACCAAGCGAGGAAAGUCAAGGGACUGGCGGGGGUCUCUGAACUCCCAGACCGCCCCCCGGCCCGGGCUCUUCAGCACAGAGCAUACAGCAGGCGGCGCUCCACGAAUGUUUGUUGAAUGAAUGAGUGAGCGAUUGCCUGUAACGCUCUAGGGCAGGACUGUUGUUACACUCCUAAAGUGAGGGACCCUACCUGGUGCAAAGGCCCUGCUGGAUCAGAGCUGCAAGCCCAAAUGGAUUCUGUGACGGUUUCCAGUUUCUCACUUCCCUGUGCUGAAAAUCAGUUUUGUUUUGAAAUAAAAAAUUACUAAGACUGGGGUGCCUGGGUGGCUCAGUCUGUUGGGCAUCUGCCUUGGGCUCAGGUCAUGAUCUUGGGCUCCCUGCUUCUCCCUCUCCCUCUGCUGCUCCCCCUGCUUGUGCUCUCUCUCUCUCUGUGUCAAAUAAAUAAAUAAAAUCUUUAAAAAAAAAAAGAGUGAGCCUCAGUGGGCAUUCUGGCGGCCCAGUUAACACUCCUGGUUCCCCUUGUCUAGGAACCCAGGCUGCUCAGGUGGACAGCCAUUGUCAGCAACCCAGGGGCGGCUGGGAUUUAAAGAGAGCCCAGGACUCCCUUCAGCCACUCUGCAAUGUGAGAAUUGUUAGUUGUCCCAGCAUGUAAUAGCACUUGGGAGAACUGUGAAAACAUCCGGGAUGGCAAGGGGAUCUUGCCAAGUUACCGGUAUACCUUGGAGUCGUCUAAUUCCCAAAAAGUACAGCCCCUUCUGUGCUUGGGAUCUCUCCCUUGGAGGAGUAAGCAUGGUGGAGAGUGUUAUACAGGAAGUGUGCGCCCCUCGCCUGGGGCUGCCCUCUCCUGGAGCCGGGGCUGCAGCCCCUUGGCCCCAGGGCCAUGCUGCUGUCAGCCUCCUGAGUGGGACUCCUCCAGGCUUCACCUCUUAUUCUGGAGGAGACCUUCUGGGGCAGACUGGGGCAGACUGCGUGUAAUUCAAGUGGCGGCAUCUGUUCAGCGAGGGCCAGAGACCCCACCUUUGAAGUGAG